rnacentral:rRNA from 1 species
GACUAGAGUUUGAUCCUGGCUCAGAACGAACGUUAGCGGCGCGCCUAACACAUGCAAGUCGCACGAGAAAGGGCUUCGGCCCCGGUAAAGUGGCGCACGGGUGAGUAACACGUGGGUAAUCUGCCCUCGAGCGGGGGAUAACAUUCCGAAAGGAGUGCUAAUACCGCAUAAGACCACGGCUUCGAAAGAAGCUGAGGUCAAAGCAGGCCUCUGUACACAAGCUUGCACUCGAGGAUGAGCCCGCGGCCCAUCAGCUAGUUGGUAGGGUAAUGGCCUACCAAGGCGAAGACGGGUAGCUGGUCUGAGAGGAUGAUCAGCCACACUGGAACUGAGACACGGUCCAGACUCCUACGGGAGGCAGCAGUGGGGAAUCUUGCGCAAUGGCGAAAGCCUGACGCAGCGACGCCGCGUGAGUGAUGAAGGCCCUCGGGUUGUAAAGCUCUGUUGAGGGAGAAGAAUUAGUAGAAGCUAAUACCUUCUAUGAUGACGGUAUCCCUUUAGAAAGCACCGGCUAACUCUGUGCCAGCAGCCGCGGUAA